GAUGAACGCUGGCGGCGUGCCUAAUACAUGCAAGUCGAGCGGACGGACGAGAAGCUUGCUUCUCUGAUGUUAGCGGCGGACGGGUGAGUAACACGUGGAUAACCUACCUAUAAGACUGGGAUAACUUCGGGAAACCGGAGCUAAUACCGUAUAAUAUUUUGAACCGCAUGGUUCAAAAGUGAAAGACGGUCGUGCUGUCACGUAUAGAUGGAUCCGCGCUUCAUUAGCUAGUUGGUAAGGUAACGGCUUACCAAGGCAACGAUGCAUAGCCGACCUGAGAGGGUGAUCGGCCACACUGGAACUGAGACACGGACCAGACUCCUACGGGAGGCAGCAGUAGGGAAUGUUCCGCAAUGGGCGAAAGCCUGACGGAGCAACGCCGCGUGAGUGAUGAAGGUCUUCGGAUCGUAAAACUCUGUUAUUAGGGAAGAACAUAUGUGUAAGUAAAUGUGCACAUAUUGACGGUACCUAAUAAGAAAGCAACGGCUAACUACGUG
rnacentral:rRNA from 1 species